rnacentral:rRNA from 1 species
AGUGAACGCUGGCGGUAGGCCUAACACAUGCAAGUCGAACGGCAGCACAGUAAGAGCUUGCUCUUACGGGUGGCGAGUGGCGGACGGGUGAGGAAUACAUCGGAAUCUACUUUUUCGUGGGGGAUAACGUAGGGAAACUUACGCUAAUACCGCAUACGACCUACGGGUGAAAGCAGGGGAUCUUCGGACCUUGCGCGAUUGAAUGAGCCGAUGUCGGAUUAGCUAGUUGGCGGGGUAAAGGCCCACCAAGGCGACGAUCCGUAGCUGGUCUGAGAGGAUGAUCAGACACACUGGAACUGAGACACGGUCCAGACUCCUACGGGAGGCAGCAGUGGGGAAUAUUGGACAAUGGGCGCAAGCCUGAUCCAGCCAUACCGCGUGGGUGAAGAAGGCCUUCGGGUUGUAAAGCCCUUUUGUUGGGAAAGAAAAGCAGCAGGUUAAUACCCCGCUGUUCUGACGGUACCCAAAGAAUAAGCACCGGCUAACUUCAUG